rnacentral:rRNA from 1 species
AUUGAACGCUGGCGGCAUGCCUUACACAUGCAGGUCGAACGGCAGCACGGGAGCAAUCCUGGUGGCGAGUGGCGAACGGGUGAGUAAUGUAUCGGAACGUGCCCAGUCGUGGGGGAUAACGUAGCGAAAGCUACGCUAAUACCGCAUACGAUCUAUGGAUGAAAGCGGGGGAUCGCAAGACCUCGCGCGAUUGGAGCGGCCGAUAUCAGAUUAGGUAGUUGGUGGGGUAAAGGCUCACCAAGCCGACGAUCUGUAGCUGGUCUGAGAGGACGACCAGCCACACUGGGACUGAGACACGGCCCAGACUCCUACGGGAGGCAGCAGUGGGGAAUUUUGGACAAUGGGCGCAAGCCUGAUCCAGCAAUGCCGCGUGCAGGAUGAAGGCCUUCGGGUUGUAAACUGCUUUUGUACGGAACGAAAAGGUCUCUCUUAAUACGGGGGGCUCAUGACGGUACCGUAAGAAUAAGCACCGGCUAACUACGUGCCAGCAGCCGCGGUAA